GGCGGCGUGGAUAAGACAUGCAAGUCGAACGCGACUUAUUUUGUUAGCAAUAACAGAGUAAGUUGAGUGGCGAAAGGGUGCGUAACACGUGGGAAUUUACCAAGAAGUGGGGAAUAGCUCGACGAAAGUCGAAUUAAUACCGCAUACGAUCGCAAGAUCAAAGCCGGGGACCGCAAGGCCUGGCGCUUUUUGAGAAGCCCGCGGCCCAUCAGCUAGUUGGCGGGGUAACGGCCCACCAAGGCUAUGACGGGUAGCUGGUCUGAGAGGACGACCAGCCACACUGGAACUGAGACACGGUCCAGACACCUACGGGUGGCAGCAGUCGAGAAUUUUUCACAAUGGACGAAAGUCUGAUGGAGCGACGCCGCGUGGAGGAUGAAGGUUUUCGGAUUGUAAACUCCUGUCACUGCAGAACAAGGAUAUGCCAGUUAACAGCCGGUGUAUUUGAUGGUAUGCGGAGAGGAAGGGACGGCUAACUCUGUGCCAGCAGCCGCGGUAAGAC
rnacentral:rRNA from 1 species